CAGUGGGCUGACCUUACGCUUCGCCCAUUUACACCUUGGCGUCCAAGAAAAGGCAAACAAAGUUGUAUAUUUUCCAAACGCUGUAAAAUAGCUAAAAAUGUCAUUCAAAGGCUCCAAAGUGCAAAAGGUGAUGGUUCAACCCAUCAACCUUAUUUUCCGAUACCUACAGAAUCGAUCUCGAGUGCAAGUGUGGCUGUACGAAAACACGCAUCUGCGAAUAGAAGGACACAUCGUUGGUUUCGACGAGUAUAUGAAUCUGGUGCUAGACGAGGCGGAAGAGUUUAAUAUUAAAAAACAAACCCGACGCCAGCUUGGGCGUAUCAUGCUGAAAGGAGACAACAUAACACUCAUCCAGAACGUGCAGAAUUAGCCGGUGUUGCGUACAAUUGCGUUGUGUUUCGCAGUACCUUAAAUUACAUUAAAUUUAAGAAAUUAGAUGCGCGAAGAUGGUCUACUGAUACUAAGUGUUUCGGAUAAGCAACCCCAGCAGCCAACCGGGUGAAAGACUAAUAAAGUGUUUGUAGAUGUGCCAAAUGUGCCGCAUCGUUCCUAGAUAAAUGCAUCACAUACAUAGCUGAGAAUGCAUCGGAGUGCGUCAAAACGAAUGCAUUUCUGAACCUGACUAAAGAAGGAUUGAUUCAAGUAAUCUCGUAUG